UACGUAGGGUGCAAGCGUUGUCCGGAAUUAUUGGGCGUAAAGAGCUCGUAGGCGGUUCGUCGCGUCGGCUGUGAAAUCCCGAGGCUCAACCUCGGGUCUGCAGUCGAUACGGGCGGACUGGAGUACUGCAGGGGAGACUGGAAUUCCUGGUGUAGCGGUGGAAUGCGCAGAUAUCAGGAGGAACACCGGUGGCGAAGGCGGGUCUCUGGGCAGUAACUGACGCUGAGGAGCGAAAGCGUGGGGAGCGAACAGG
rnacentral:rRNA from 1 species